CCACUAUUGGAAAACAAUCAAGAAAACCAAACAAUUCAUUAAACCAGAGUUGGAGCAAAGUGCUGAAAAAAAUUGUUUAGUUUCAUAGUUGUGGAGAUUAUCAAGAUUUGAUACAGAAAUGGCCCUUAAUGCUCACAAUACUGAACUGCACGUGGAGCUUUAUGACCCUCCUUUUCGUCUUGGGGAAUGAAGGCUGGAAAGAGGCUCUGCAUUGAAAGGGCGGCCAUAUUUGUGCUUUUUCCCAUGUGCCGAGGUAAGCAACGUAUUGAUCCUUGUGGAAUUUUACAAAAUGGCAUCCCUGAACUGACUUCUUUAGAAGCCAGGGAACUUCCCAGGCUCUUUGUGUGUCCAAGGGCUUGGCUGUUUCCAUCAGUGUUGACAUUGGAGGGUCCCAUAAUAUCUUUAAACACUUUACCAAAGUGUUUAAAGGCGAGAGAGAGAGAGAGAGAGAGAGAGAGAGAGAGAGAGAGAGA